rnacentral:tRNA from 1 species
AGGGUUGUAGUUUAUAUAGAACGUCUAAUUUGCAUUUAGCUAGUACUCGGGUCACCCCUU